AGUGAACGCUGGCGGUAGGCCUAACACAUGCAAGUCGAACGGCAGCACAGUAAGAGCUUGCUCUUACGGGUGGCGAGUGGAGGACGGGUGAGGAAUACAUCGGAAUCUACUUUUUCGUGGGGGAUAACGUAGGGAAACUUACGCUAAUACCGCAUACGACCUACGGGUGAAAUCAGGGGAUCUUCGGACCUUGCGCGUUUGAUUGAGCCGAUGUCGGAUUAGCUAGUUGGCGGGGUAAAGGCCCACCAAGGCGACGAUCCGUAGCUGGUCUGAGAGGAUGAUCAGCCACACUGGAACUGAGACACGGUCCAGACUCCUACGGGAGGCAGCAGUGGGGAAUAUUGGACAAUGGGCGCAAGCCUGAUCCAGCCAUACCGCGUGGGUGAAGAAGGCCUUCGAGUUGUAAAGCCCUUUUGUUGGGAAAGAAAAGCAGCAGGUUAAUACCCCGCUGUUCUGACGGUACCCAAAGAAUAAGCACCGGCUAACUUCGUG
rnacentral:rRNA from 1 species